UCAGGUGAUCAACCUGCCUCAGCCUCCCAAAGUGCUGGGAUUACAGGCGUGAGCCACCGCACCUGGCCUAGGGGUACCUUUAAUAAAUCUUUUUGGGGGUGCAAUUCAGCCCUCAAGACCAGGUGAGAGAGUCCCUCCCAGUAUGAUUGCAAGCUCAAACCCAUGGAUCCAAAUCAGGAUACCACCUUAAAUUUAACAUAAUGCCCUUAAAAAUGAAAAAGGUCAGAACCAAGCUCUAUCCACAGAAUCAAAUCAAAAUUUCACUUUGGCAUCCUUCUUUUGCUCACCCUUCACCCUGUUCCCCACCCGUUGUAUGUGCACUCAGCUAGCUCUAUGUUUCCUCUGUACAUCCUUCCUGCUUGAAUUUGAUAGUCUCAAUUUUUCAGUCAAGUUAGUUCUUAACAAUUUUGAGGUCAUGGGACCACUCUGAGAAUCUAAUAGAAGCUAUGGAGUCUCUGAGAACACUGCACAGAUAAAAACAAUUUAGCAUCCAAUUUCAGAGCAGUCAGAUACUAAUCCACUUCCCUCCUCCCCAAGGGCCUCUAAGUAUAGAACCACCUUGCACAGUUUGGCUUCCCCAGGCAUUGAUUCUGCAAUAAAAUCAUCACAACUCACUAUCAAUCCCUCUUCCAAGGCAAUUUCUCCAGAUCCUGCACAUUGUGCAGUGCUCCAUACUCUGGGUCUUGGCCAACCUUAGCUGUCCAGCCACUGCCUCGGGCUGAAGCUGAGAAGGGCUGGCUGGGCAGAGCUCUUCCACUGGGCCCUGAAGGCAGCUGGACUCCCUCUCCAGCCAACUUGGCUGUGAGCAUAGAACCCCCACAAAUUCUGCUUGACCCAACACCUCUUCUGAGCCCACUUUCUCCAGGGGUGGGUAGAAAUAUCUCAGAAUGUUAAAACUUCUCAGUCCGCAAGCCAUGUUAUCAUCUGGAUUUCAACAAAGAAAAGUGACUCCAGCAUGCAGAGUGGGAUCAACUUGCUCUACCAACUCUGGAUCUUCUGUCAUCUGGAAAUGACGGGGAUCUUGUACUCACGGGCAAUGCCUGCCUACUAUUAUCUUUGGAAUCAGCAUGUGAGGCCCCCUACAGUGCCUCAUCCAUCUGACUCAUGCCGAAGAUGGUCCAGGCGUCACCUGAGCUAUGCUACCUUUGGUAAAGACCCAUGCAGGCUUCUCUUUGCCCUGGAGUCACACUUUCUCCCCUAUUGACACCCCAGCCAGGAUCACACCAAUACCUCCAACAUCAAUCAGAAGUCAACAAGAAUGGAAAACAGACUAAAGUAACUUCUAUGGACAGGGCUGGGUCUA
rnacentral:lncRNA from 1 species